CCUACGGGUGACAGCAGUAGGGAAUCUUCCACAAUGGACGAAAGUCUGAUGGAGCAACGCCGCGUGAGUGAAGAAGGGUUUCGGCUCGUAAAGCUCUGUUGGUAGUGAAGAAAGAUAGAGGUAGUAACUGGCCUUUAUUUGACGGUAAUUACUUAGAAAGUCACGGCUAACUACGUGCCAGCCGCCGCGGUAAUACGUAGGUGGCAAGCGUUGUCCGGAUUUAUUGGGCGUAAAGCGAGUGCAGGCGGUUCAAUAAGUCUGAUGUGAAAGCCUUCGGCUCAACCGGAGAAUUGCAUCAGAAACUGUUGAACGUGAGUGCAGAAGAGGAGAGUGGAACUCCAUGUGUAGCGGUGGAAUGCGUAGAUAUAUGGAAGAACACCAGUGGCGAAGGCGGCUCUCUGGUCUGCAACUGACGCUGAGGCUCGAAAGCAUGGGUAGCGAACAGGAUUAGAUACCCUUGUAGUC
rnacentral:rRNA from 1 species